rnacentral:RNase_P_RNA from 1 species
GGAGCGGUCCGGGUGGUCGCGGCGGCGGCUUUGUCGCUGUCGAGGAAAGUCCGGGCUGCACUGGGUAAGGAUGCCGGAUAACGUCCGGCGGAGGCGACUUCGGGAAAGUGCCACAGAGAGUAGACCGCCGGUUGUUUCGACAACGGGUAAGGGUGAAAGGGUGCGGUAAG